rnacentral:rRNA from 1 species
GAUGAACGCUAGCGGCAGGCUUAACACAUGCAAGUCGAGGGGUAUAGUUCUUCGGAGCUAGAGACCGGCGCACGGGUGCGUAACGCGUAUGCAAUCUACCUUUUGCAGAGGGAUAGCCCAGAGAAAUUUGGAUUAAUACCUCAUAGUAUGUGAGAAUGGCAUCAUUUUCACAUUAAAGUCACAACGGCAAAAGAUGAGCAUGCGUCCCAUUAGCUUGUUGGUAAGGUAACGGCUUACCAAGGCAACGGUGGGUAGGGGUCCUGAGAGGGAGAUCCCCCACACUGGUACUGAGACACGGACCAGACUCCUACGGGAGGCAGCAGUGAGGAAUAUUGGACAAUGGGCGCAAGCCUGAUCCAGCCAUGCCGCGUGCAGGAUGACGGUCCUAUGGAUUGUAAACUGCUUUUGUAAAGGAAGAAACACUGGUUCGUGAACCAGCUUGACGGUACUGUAAGAAUAAGGAUCGGCUAACUCCAUGCCAGCAGCCGCAGUAAGAC